UACGUAGGGAGCAAGCGUUGUCCGGAAUCAUUGGGCGUAAAGCGCGCGUAGGUGGCUUCGUAAGUCCGUUGUGAAAGUCAAAGGCUCAACCUUUGAAAGCCGAUGGAUACUGCGGAGCUAGAGUACGGAAGAGGCGAGUGGAAUUCCUGGUGUAGCGGUGGAAUGCGCAGAUAUCAGGAGGAACACCAAUAGCGAAGGCAGCUCGCUGGGACGUAACUGACACUGAGGCGCGAAAGCGUGGGGAGCGAACAGG
rnacentral:rRNA from 1 species